rnacentral:rRNA from 1 species
AAAUUGAAGAGUUUGAUCAUGGCUCAGAUUGAACGCUGGCGGCAGGCCUAACACAUGCAAGUCGAACGGUAACAGAAAGCAGCUUGCUGCUUUGCUGACGAGUGGCGGACGGGUGAGUAAUGUCUGGGAAACUGCCCGAUGGAGGGGGAUAACUACUGGAAACGGUAGCUAAUACCGCAUAACGUCGCAAGACCAAAGAGGGGGACCUUCGGGCCUUUUGCCAUCGGAUGUGCCCAGAUGGGAUUAGCUAGUAGGUGGGGUAA